rnacentral:rRNA from 1 species
UGAGUAACGCGUGAGGAACCUGCCUUUCAGUGGGGGACAACAGUUGGAAACGACUGCUAAUACCGCAUAACACUUUUUGGGGACAUCCCCGAAAAGUCAAAGCUUUAUGUGCUGAAAGAUGGCCUCGCGUCUGAUUAGCUAGUUGGCGGGGUAACGGCCCACCAAGGCGACGAUCAGUAGCCGGUCUGAGAGGAUGAACGGCCACAUUGGGACUGAGAUACGGCCCAGACUCCUACGGGAGGCAGCAGUGGGGAAUAUUGGGCAAUGGGGGAAACCCUGACCCAGCAACGCCGCGUGAAGGAAGAAGGCCCUCGGGUUGUAAACUUCUUUUACCAGGGACGAAGGACGUGACGGUACCUGGAGAAAAAGCAACGGCUAACUACGUGCCAGCAGCCGCGGUAAUACGUAGGUUGCAAGCGUUGUCCGGAUUUACUGGGUGUAAAGGGUGUGUAGGCGGAGAUGCAAGUUGGGAGUGAAAUCCCGGGGCUCAACCCCGGAACUGCUUUCAAAACUGUAUCCCUUGAGUAUCGGAGAGGCAAGCGGAAUUCCUAGUGUAGCGGUGAAAUGCGUAGAUAUUAGGAGGAACACCAGUGGCGAAGGCGGCUUGCUGGACGACAACUGACGCUGAGGCGCGAAAGCGUGGGGAGCAAACAGGAUUAGAUACCCUGGUAGUCCACGCUGUAAACGAUGAAUACUAGGUGUGGGAGGACUGACCCCUUCCGUGCCGCAGUUAACACAAUAAGUAUUCCACCUGGGGAGUACGACCGCAAGGUUGAAACUCAAAGGAAUUGACGGGGGCCCGCACAAGCAGUGGAUUAUGUGGUUUAAUUCGACGCAACGCGAAGAACCUUACCAGGACUUGACAUCCAACUAACGAAGC